GUGAACGCUGGCGGUAGGCCUAACACAUGCAAGUCGAACGGCAGCACAGUAAGAGCUUGCUCUUACGGGUGGCGAGUGGCGGACGGGUGAGGAAUACAUCGGAAUCUACUUUUUCGUGGGGGAUCACGUAGGGAAACUUACGCUAAUACCGCAUACGACCUACGGGUGAAAGCAGGGGAUCUUCGGACCUUGCGCGAUUGAAUGAGCCGAUGUCGGAUUAGCUAGUUGGCGGGGUAAAGGCCCACCAAGGCGACGAUCCGUAGCUGGUCUGAGAGGAUGAUCAGCCACACUGGAACUGAGACACGGUCCAGACUCCUACGGGAGGCAGCAGUGGGGAAUAUUGGACAAUGGGCGCAAGCCUGAUCCAGCCAUACCGCGUGGGUGAAGAAGGCCUUCGGGUUGUAAAGCCCUUUUGUUGGGAAAGAAAAGCAGCAGGUUAAUACCCCGCUGUUCUGACGGUACCCAAAGAAUAAGCACCGGCUAACUUCGUG
rnacentral:rRNA from 1 species